GUUUUAGAUACACAGUUUGGAGUGAUGUGUGUUUAUGUCUGUCCUCUACAGAAUAAGGGAUGUUUGAAGUGUUACUCUCAACAAACAGAAGCAUGUGGACACUGGACAGACAUUGACUGUAAUGAUGGACAUCUGCUGAAGCACAGGCAGAAGUAUAACCCCUGCUGGACAUUGUGCUGGAACUCGGGGAGGACACCAUGAUCCCCCACACCUUCUCACUCACACCAGACCAUUCACUCAUAUCACAGAGAUCUGGCUGGACUUGAACCAGCAACCUCUGAAACCAUGAGGCAGCGCUCUUACCUCUGAGCCACAGAUCUCAUGUCUGAACAUGUGGAGGAACUUAUAUUUCACUAUUCUCCCUGUCAGUUUACAAUAAACCAGUUAAAUUGUGUAAGUAAUGUGUGUAAGUAAUGUGUGUUUGCAC
ensembl:lncRNA